UAGGGAAUAUUGGUAAUGUGCGAAAGCGCGAACCAGCAACGCCGCGUGCGCGAUGAAGGCCUUCGGGUUGUAAAGCGCUUUUUAUGGGGAUGAGGAAGGACAGUACUCAUAGAAUAAGCCUCGGCUAACUACGUGCCAGCAGCCGCGGUAAAACGUAGGAGGCGAGCGUUAUCCGGAUUUACGGGGCGUAAAGCGUGUGUAGGCGGUUUGAUAAGUUGGAUGUGAAAGCUCCUGGCUUAACUGGGAGAGGUCGUUCAAAACUAUCAGACUUGAGAGUGGUAGAGGGAGGUGGAAGUCCGGGUGUAGUGGUGAAAUGCGUAGAUAUCCGGAGGAGCACCAGUGGCGAAAGCGGCCUCCUGGCCCAUUUCUGACGCUCAGACACGAAAGCUAAGGUAGCAAACGG
rnacentral:rRNA from 1 species